rnacentral:lncRNA from 1 species
GGCCGCCAGCGCAAACAGGAACCCGCGCGUCUCUGCACGGCGGCAGGAUUUAACCAAAACGCGCCGCAGCCGAGCGCUUAAACACGCCUCUGCCCCAAAACUCAGGGCUGGGUCUCACCCGCCGACACGAGGAGCAGAGAGCAAAGGCGCCCGCGAGGAGCCCGCUUCCCCCGCCGCGCCGCCGCGCACGGGACCGGCUCCUCGUCACCGUGCCGCGGAGGCGCUGCCCACGGGCGAAGGGAAGUGCCGCGGGCUGGGAGCGCCGCGCAGACAGACGGACGGACGCCCGCCCCACGGCUCCCUCCCGGCGGUUGCGCUUUUGGUUUGCGCACCAAGAGCCAAGCGGAAAGCUGCCGCCACUGCCACUGCCGCGGAGCAGCGCCGCGUCUUUCCGUGCGCCCGGCGGAGCGGGAGCCUGCGGAGCUGCCGCCGGCAGAGACGACCGCGAAGGCUCUGGAAGAGAAGCGGGAAAAACAGAGGAGAGGUUUUCUAGCCAGCAGGGACCCCAAACCUCGCACCGAAAUCUGCAGGUUGCAUCUGUUGUCAAACUCAUGUGUUGAGAAAAGUGGCUGAAAUGCUUCCAGAAAGGUGACAGAGGGUGCAGCUCCAGCGGCAAACUGUCAAGCGCUUCAGCACACAAAGAUGUAUUUCUGUGUGGACCGUCACUCUGUCAAUGCUGCAAGGGACUAUAUUAAGGUCUAGUAACUUCUGACAAAGAGUAUGAGUGAAGUGCACGAGCAAGACUAAGUCAUUCACCACAGAACCAAGCUCCUCCCAAAACUGGACUAGAUGAUCCUGCAACUGAAGCCUUGCACACAGAUAUUAGAGUGGAAAGAGAUAUAAACUUUUUUAUUUAAAACACGGACUACCUCAGGACAACCUGGCCAGCAGGAAGCUAGUGAGGAACAAUGUCAUCAUACGGUACCACCAACUUUGCACACCUAGAUUAUCACAGCAGAAGACUUCAUGAAGAACAAAGUAAACCUAUCCCAGAAGGCCAGGGAAGCAAAGGAACAGGGCAAACACAAUCCUAAGCGUGCAGCUAUUCUGCUAUUCUUAAAUGUUCAGUCCUGCAGGGAACUGGAAGACAGCUGGGAACUCUGCAGGUCGCCUCACCUGAG